GAUUAAUAUGAGUGGACAGAGAGACAGACAUAUAGAUAGAUGAACACUAAUUAACUGGGAGGAUGGUGGAGAGGCAUUUUGAAUGCUGAAAGUGAUCAUUUAACAUGUACUUUAACUUACUGAUGACAUAAGUUGUGAAAAUAGGAAGUACAUCUACCCAUUUGCAUCUUUCAUUUAUGUUUUAUAUCUUCUCG